AGUGAGAAGAGACAUAGCAGAGCCGAGAACCACCCCUCAGCAUACCACUCUAGACAUUGGUUUCUCUAGGAUGGAGUAGAGGUCAGAUGCCCACAGGCCUCCGUGGGAUCUGAGGAGUCCUCCCUCGCCUCUGGAGGCCUGAUUCCCCCACCCCCACUUAGAGGGGCCUUCUCAUCAGCAAUCUGUGAUAUCAGUGCCAGAGCUGUGCAGAGGGGGACCACUGGCACUCUCCCCUCUGAACCUGAAGUCUCCAGGGAGCCACAGCCAACUUCCCCUGGGAUUCAGGAUACUCCCAUUUUUAACUAGGACGUCUUGGAGGAAGCGUCAGAUCACUCACUAGCUGUUCACUGUGAGGGGGUCUGCUGCAUUUGGAAAGAAAGAAGGGUGUUUCUGAGAAAUAUGCCAGGCUGGAAAUAGGGGAGAGUCAGGUCCCUCAUUCUGGGAGGGAGUGACAAUGCAAACACAAACUAGGAAUUGAUUUUCCUUCCUAAGAGAGAGGAGCGGCUUUCUUCAAGUGGCUGUGGUACACAACCAGCGCCAGGCAUGCUCAUGCCAGCGGCGUCCCAGUUGCGGGUCUAGCAGGAAACCCACACGGAGAUUUCUGUGGAACAUGAGGCCCUGUGGCUCUAGAACGAGCCCAGGACAGGCAGGACCCUGGGCCUGAGGGUCUUUAGUCCCACUAAAGAGGAAUCUCGUUUUUCAAAGAUAUCCCCAAACUCUUCUCUCCACUGAACUUCUGUAUAAUGAGUUGGCAAGAACUUGGGACAAUGAAUCAAAGAAUUGAGUCCUGGUUUAGUUCUUCUCUAAACAGCUGUGUAGCUCUAGGGGAAGUUAAUAGCCUUUCUUGGGCUCAAGUUUUAUUAUUUGUAAAUGGGAAUUUUCUCAGAAAUCUUUCCUUCAAAAUCCAACUUCAAACAAUUAGGGAGGUAGAGCAGAAUAGGGAUUCAGAGUGUGGGCCUUGAUGUGAGAACUACCCAAGUCUGAAUCCUAGACCCUCCAUCCGUUGGCUUCGUGACCAGUACCUGUGAGGUAGGUACUAUCGAGAUAACCAUAGUGCCUCUCUCACAGGGUUGCUAAUGAGAAUAAAAUGAAGUAAACAGCCUAAUUGGAUUCUAGAAAUUCUUCAGUAAGAAAAAAGAAAAUGCAGAUAGCCUUACACUAGAUGGGCAGAGGGGAAAAAAAAAAAA